rnacentral:rRNA from 1 species
CCUACGGGUGGCAGCAGUGGGGAAUAUUGGACAAUGGGCGAAAGCCUGAUCCAGCCAUGCCGCGUGUGUGAAGAAGGCCUUCGGGUUGUAAAGCACUCUCAGUGGGGAAGAAAGCCUUGGGGCUAAUACCCUCGAGGAAGGACAUCACCCACAGAAGAAGCACCGGCUAACUCCGUGCCAGCAGCCGCGGUAAUACGGAGGGUGCGAGCGUUAAUCGGAAUUACUGGGCGUAAAGCGCGCGUAGGCGGUCUGAUAAGCCGGUUGUGAAAGCCCCGGGCUCAACCUGGGAACGGCAUCCGGAACUGUCAGGCUAGAGUGCAGGAGAGGAAGGUAGAAUUCCCGGUGUAGCGGUGAAAUGCGUAGAGAUCGGGAGGAAUACCAGUGGCGAAGGCGGCCUUCUGGACUGACACUGACGCUGAGGUGCGAAAGCGUGGGUAGCAAACAGGAUUAGAUACCCUGUAGUC